rnacentral:rRNA from 1 species
CUACGGGGGGCUCCAGUGGGGAGUAUUGCACAAUGGAGGAAACUCUGAUGCAGCAACGCCGCGUGGAGGAUGACACUUUUCGGAGCGUAAACUCCUUUUAUAUAGGAAGAAGAUGACGGUACUAUAUGAAUAAGCGCCGGCUAACUCCGUGCCAGCAGCCGCGGUAAUACGGAGGGCGCAAGCGUUACUCGGAAUCACUGGGCGUAAAGAGCGUGUAGGCGGAUUAAAAAGUCAGAAGUGAAAUCCUAUAGCUUAACUAUAGAACUGCUUCUGAAACUCUUAAUCUAGAAUAUGGGAGAGGUAGAUGGAAUUUCUGGUGUAGGGGUAAAAUCCGUAGAGAUCAGAAGGAAUACCGAUUGCGAAGGCGAUCUACUAGAACAUUAUUGACGCUAAGACGCGAAAGCGUGGGGAGCAAACAGGAUUAGAUACCCCAGUAGUC